rnacentral:rRNA from 2 species
GAUGGUAGAAUUCCAGGUGUAGCGGUGAAAUGCGUAGAGAUCUGGAGGAAUACCGAUGGCGAAGGCAGCCAUCUGGCCUAAUACUGACACUGAGGUGCGAAAGCAUGGGGAGCAAACAGGAUUAGAUACCCUGGUAGUCCAUGCCGUAAACGAUGUCUACUAGCCGUUGGGGGAUUUGAUCCUUUAGUGGCGCAGCUAACGCGAUAAGUAGACCGCCUGGGGAGUACGGUCGCAAGACUAAAACUCAAAUGAAUUGACGGGGGCCCGCACAAGCGGUGGAGCAUGUGGUUUAAUUCGAUGCAACGCGAAGAACCUUACCUGGCCUUGACAUAGUAGAGACUUUCCAGAGAUGGAUUGGUGCCUUCGGGAAUCUACAUACAGGUGCUGCAUGGCUGUCGUCAGCUCGUGUCGUGAGAUGUUGGGUUAAGUCCCGCAACGAGCGCAACCCUUUUCCUUACUUGCCAGCAUUUCGGAUGGGAACUUUAAGGAUACUGCCAGUGACAAACUGGAGGAAGGCGGGGACGACGUCAAGUCAUCAUGGCCCUUACGGCCAGGGCUACACACGUGCUACAAUGGUCGGUACAAAGGGUUGCUACACAGCGAUGUGAUGCUAAUCUCAAAAAGCCGAUCGUAGUCCGGAUCGCAGUCUGCAACUCGACUGCGUGAAGUCGGAAUCGCUAGUAAUCGCGGAUCAGAAUGCCGCGGUGAAUACGUUCCCGGGCCUUGUACACACCGCCCGUCACACCAUGGGAGUUUGUUGCACCAGAAGUACUAGUCUAACCGCAAGGAGGACGCUUA